UACGUAGGGUGCAAGCGUUGUCCGGAAUUAUUGGGCGUAAAGAGCUUGUAGGCGGUUUGUCGCGUCUGCUGUGAAAUUUCGGGGCUCAACCCCGAACUUGCAGUGGGUACGGGCAGACUAGAGUGUGGUAGGGGAGACUGGAAUUCCUGGUGUAGCGGUGAAAUGCGUAGAUAUCAGUCGGAACACCGGUGGCGAAGGCGGCUUCUUGGGCCUGGACUGACGCUGAGGCGCGAAAGCUGGGGGAGCGAACGGG
rnacentral:rRNA from 1 species